AUAACCCCGGGAAACUGGGGAUAAUACCCCAUAGACUAUGGAUGCUGGAAUGCUUUGUAGUUGAAAGGUCCGCCGCCAUAGGAUGGGUCUGCGGCCGAUUAGGUUGUUGUUGGGGUAACGGCCCAACAAGCCUGUAAUCGGUACGGGUUGUGGGAGCAAGAGCCCGGAGAUGGAUUCUGAGACACGAAUCCAGGCCCUACGGGGCGCAGCAGGCGCGAAAACUUUACAAUGCGGGAAACCGUGAUAAGGGAACUCCGAGUGCCCGUAAAAUCGGGCUGUCCAUCUGUUUAAAUAACAGGUGAAGAAAGGGCCGGGCAAGACCGGUGCCAGCCGCCGCGGUAAUACCGGCGGCUCGAGUGGUGGCCACUAUUACUGGGCUUAAAGCGUCCGUAGCUGGAUUGUUAAGUCUCUUGGGAAAUCUACCGGCUUAACCGAUAGGCGUUCAAGGGAUACUGGCAAUCUAGGGACCGGGAGAGGUGAGAGGUACUCCAGGGGUAGGAGUGAAAUCCUGUAAUCCUUGGGGGACCACCUGUGGCGAAGGCGUCUCACCAGAACGGCUCCGACAGUGAGGGACGAAAGCUGGGGGAGCAAACCGGAUUAGAUACCCGGGUAGUCCCAGCUGUAAACGAUGUGCGUUAGGUGUAUCGGUGACCACGAGUCACCGAGGUGCCGAAGAGAAAUCGUGAAACGUACCGCCUGGGAAGU
rnacentral:rRNA from 1 species